rnacentral:rRNA from 1 species
AUUGAACGCUGGCGGCAGGCCUAACACAUGCAAGUCGAGCGAGCGGCGGACGGGUGAGUAAUGUCUGGGAAACUGCCUGAUGGAGGGGGAUAACUACUGGAAACGGUAGCUAAUACCGCAAACCAUCAGAUGUGCCCAGAUGGGGUUAGCUCGUAGGGGGGGUAACGGCUCACCGAGGCGACGAGCCCGAGCUGGUCUGAGAGGAUGACCAGCCACACUGGAACUGAGACACGGUCCAGACUCCUACGGUAGGCAGCAGUGGGGAAUAUUGCACAAUGUGCGCAAGCCUGAUGCAGCCAUGCCGCGUGUGUGAAGAAGGCCUUCGGGUUGUAAAGCACUUUCAGCGGGGAGGCGUUACCCGCAGAAGAAGCACCGGCUAACUCCGUGCCAGCAGCCGCGGUAAUUC